rnacentral:rRNA from 1 species
CCUACGGGAGGCAGCAGUGGGGAAUAUUGGACAAUGAGCGGAAGCCUGACGCAGCGACGCCGCGUGGGGGAUGAAGGCCUUCGGGUUGUAAACCUCUUUCAGCAGGGGCGAAGCGCGAGUGACGGUACCUGCAGAAGAAGCGCCGGCUAACUACGUGCCAGCAGCCGCGGUAAUACGUAGGGCGCGAGCGUUGUCCGGAAUUAUUGGGCGUAAAGAGCUCGUAGGCGGCUUGUUGCGUCUGCUGUGAAAUCCCGGGGCUUAACCCCGGGCGUGCAGUGGAUACGGGCAGGCUGGAGGCAGGCAGGGGAGAAUGGAAUUCCCGGUGUAGCGGUGAAAUGCGCAGAUAUCGGGAGGAACACCGGUGGCGAAGGCGGUUCUCUGGGCCUGUUCUGACGCUGAGGAGCGAAAGCGUGGGGAGCGAACAGGAUUAGAUACCCUGGUAGUCCACGCCGUAAACGUUGGGCGCUAGGUGUGGGGUCCUUCCACGGGUUCUGUGCCGCAGCUAACGCAUUAAGCGCCCCGCCUGGGGAGUACGGCCGCAAGGCUAAAACUCAAAGGAAUUGACGG